GAAAAAGUUCAUAGGAACUGCUAAUUCUUAUAAUCCGUGUGUAAUAACACGGCUUUUUCG
rnacentral:tRNA from 1 species